rnacentral:ncRNA from 1 species
CCCAGGGUAAGUCGGGACCUAAGGCGAGGCCGACAGGCGUAGUCGAUGGACAACCGGUUGAUAUUCCGGUACCCGCUUUGAAGCGCCAAACAUCGAAUCCUCUGAUGCUAAGGCCGUGAAGCCGCCCUUGAUCUCUUCGGAGUGAUGGGGAGUGGUGGAGCCGCUGACCCAAGGUGGUAGUAGGUGAGUGAUGGGGUGACGCAGGAAGGUAGUCCAGCCCGGGCGGUGGUUGUCCCGGGGUAAGGGUGUAGGCCGUGUGAUAGGCAAAUCCGUCA